rnacentral:rRNA from 1 species
AUACGGAGGGGGCUAGCGCUGUUCGGAAUUACUGGGCGUAAAGCGCGCGUAGGCGGACCAGUCAGUCAGGGGUGAAAUCCCGGGGCUCAACCCCGGAACUGCCUUUGAUACUGCUGGUCUUGAGUUCUAGAGAGGUGAGUGGAAUUCCGAGUGUAGAGGUGAAAUUCGUAGAUAUUCGGAGGAACACCAGUGGCGAAGGCGGCUCACUGGCUCGAUACUGACGCUGAGGUGCGAAAGCGUGGGGCGCAAACAGGAUUAGAAACCCUAGUAGUCC